rnacentral:tmRNA from 1 species
GGGGGUGAACAGGAUUCGACGUUGGUAGCCGAAGUGUCGGAAGCGAGCCGAGGUCACCGGAGGCCUCGUUAAAUAGCCGGUACAAACCUAUAAGUGCCAAUCACCAAUUUGCACUGGCUGCCUAAACAAAGGUAGCCCGUCCCCCGGAGCGGUUCCUGCCCUCUCCGGAGUGGGCGUCGUUCAGCAGGAUGGACUUCUCGGGAUACCCGGACCGGAAAGUCGAGAUCAACUCGGGAGUAGGGCGGACGGUCACUGGCCGAUGGAGUCCGACCGCCCGAAAUCUAACCAUCGGCUGCGCUCGGAGAGGCCGCCUCUGAAGUACCAACGGACCGGGGUUCGAUUCCCCGCACCUCCACCC